GCGAGUGAAGCGGGAAGAGCUCAAAUUUGUAAUCUGGCACUUUCAGUGUCCGAGUUGUAAUCUCUAGAAGUGUUUUCCGUGCCAUAUCGCAUAUAAGUCUGUUGGAACACAGCGUCACAGUGGUGAGAACCCCGUAUUUGAUGCGAAUGUUGGUGCUCUGUGAUACACUUUCAAAGAGUCGAGUUGUUUGGGAAUGCAGCUCAAAAUGGGUGGUAAAUUCCAUCUAAAGCUAAAUAUUGGCGAGAGACCGAUAGCGAACAAGUACCGUGAGGGAAAGAUGAAAAGCACUUUGGAAAGAGAGUUAAAAGUACGUGAAAUUGUUGGAAGGGAAACGCUUGCAGUCAGACUUGCUUUAUGGGUUCGCUCAUUUGGCAGGCCAGCAUCAGUUUUCGUUGGUAAAAAAGGGUAUUGAGAACGUGGCAACCUCGGUUGUGUUAUAGCUCUUUACUGGAUUUACCUUUGGGGACUGAGGAACGCAGUGUGCUUUUAGCGAGGGUUUCGACCCUUUCACACUUAGGAUGCUGGUAUAAUGGCUGUAAACGACCC
rnacentral:rRNA from 1 species